rnacentral:rRNA from 1 species
CCUACGGGAGGCAGCAGUGGGGAAUAUUGGGCAAUGGGCGCAAGCCUGACCCAGCAACGCCGCGUGAAGGAAGAAGGCUUUCGGGUUGUAAACUUCUUUUGUCAGGGAAGAGUAGAAGACGGUACCUGACGAAUAAGCCACGGCUAACUACGUGCCAGCAGCCGCGGUAAUACGUAGGUGGCAAGCGUUGUCCGGAUUUACUGGGUGUAAAGGGCGUGUAGCCGGGUUGACAAGUCAGAUGUGAAAUCCUGCGGCGUAACCGCAGAACUGCAUUUGAAACUGUUGGUCUUGAGUACUGGAGAGGCAGACGGAAUUCCUAGUGUAGCGGUGAAAUGCGUAGAUAUUAGGAGGAACACCAGUGGCGAAGGCGGUCUGCUGGACAGCAACUGACGGUGAGGCGCGAAAGCGUGGGGAGCAAACAGGAUUAGAUACCCCAGUAGUC